rnacentral:rRNA from 1 species
UUCUAUUAGAUUUUAUUAAUAGUAUAAUCUGCUCAAUGAUAUUAAAUAGCCGCUAUUACUGUGCUAAGGUAGCAUAAUCAUUUGUCUUUUAAUUAAAGACUAGAACAAAAGAUUGAACAUUUUAAUUAAUAUAUCCAAACUAAUUAAUUAAAUUUAUUUUAAAUGUAAAAAAACAUUUAUAAAUUAGAAAGACGAUAAGACCCUAUUAAACUUAACUUAAGUUAAACUGGGGCAGUUAAUUAAUUAUCAUUUUAAUUUAAAUACAAAAACAAAUAGAUCCUAUAAAAUAGAUUAAAUGAUCAAGUUACUAUAGGGAUAACAGCGUAAUAUUAAUUAAAAGACCUUAUUAAAAUAAAAGAUUACGACCUCGAUGUUGAAUUAAUAACCUAUAUAGUUGCAAUAAACAAUAAAGG